rnacentral:rRNA from 1 species
UACGGGGGGGGCAAGCGUUGUUCGGAAUUACUGGGCGUAAAGGGUUCGUAGGUGGCCAACUAAGUCAGACGUGAAAUCCCUCAGCUUAACUGGGGAACUGCGUCUGAGACUGGAUGGCUUGAGUGCAGGAGAGGAACGCGGAAUUCCAGGUGUAGCGGUGAAAUGCGUAGAUAUCUGGAGGAACACCGGUGGCGAAGGCGGCGUCCUGGACCAAUACUGACACUGAGGAGCGAAAGCCAGGGGAGCAAACGGG